rnacentral:rRNA from 1 species
GACGAACGCUGGCGGCGUGCUUAACACAUGCAAGUCGAACGGUGAACCUUGAAGCUUGCUUCGAGGGGAUCAGUGGCGAACGGGUGAGUAACACGUGAGUAACCUGCCCCGGACUCUGGAAUAAGCGCUGGAAACGGCGUCUAAUACCGGAUACGAGACGCAACCGCAUGGUUAGCGUCUGGAAAGUUUUUCGGUCUGGGAUGGACUCGCGGCCUAUCAGCUUGUUGGUGAGGUAAUGGCUCACCAAGGCGACGACGGGUAGCCGGCCUGGGAGGGCGACCGGCCACACUGGGACUGAGACACGGCCCAGACUCCUACGGGAGGCAGCAGUGGGGAAUAUUGCACAAUGGGCGAAAGCCUGAUGCAGCGACGCCGCGUGAGGGAUGACGGCCUUCGGGUUGUAAACCUCUUUCAGCAGGGAAGAAGCGAAAGUGACGGUACCUGCAGAAGAAGCACCGGCUAACUACGUGCCAGCAGCCGCGGUAACAC